rnacentral:rRNA from 1 species
GUGCCAGCAGCCGCGGUAAUACGGAAGGUCCGGGCGUUAUCCGGAUUUAUUGGGUUUAAAGGGAGCGCAGGCCGAUGGUUAAGCGUGACGUGAAAUGUAGCCGCUCAACGGCUGAACUGCGUCGCGAACUGGCUAUCUUGAGUGAGUUCGAUGUUGGCGGAAUUCGUGGUGUAGCGGUGAAAUGCUUAGAUAUCACGAAGAACUCCGAUUGCGAAGGCAGCCAACAAGGCCUUUACUGACGCUAAAGCUCGAAGGUGCGGGUAUCGAACAGGAUUAGAUACCCUGGUAGUCCGCACGGUAAACGAUGGAUGCCCGCUGUUCGCGAUAUACAGUGAGCGGCCAAGAGAAAUCGUUAAGCAUCCCACCUGGGGAGUACGCCGGCAACGGUGAAACUCAAAGGAAUUGACGGGGGCCCGCACAAGCGGAGGAACAUGUGGUUUAAUUCGAUGAUACGCGAGGAACCUUACCCGGGCUUGAACUGCAGGAGAAGGAUACAGAGAUGUUGACGCCCUUCGGGGCUCCUGUGGAGGUGCUGCAUGGUUGUCGUCAGCUCGUGCCGUGAGGUGUCGGCUUAAGUGCCAUAACGAGCGCAACCCUUUUCGUCAGUUGCCAUCAGGUGAUGCUGGGCACUCUGGCGACACUGCCACCGUAAGGUGUGAGGAAGGUGGGGAUGACGUCAAAUCAGCACGGCCCUUACGUCCGGGGCUACACACGUGUUACAAUGGGGCAUACAGAAGGCCGGUCGCCCGCAAGAGCGAUCCAAUCUUAAAAGUGUCCCUCAGUUCGGAUUGGGGUCUGCAACCCGACCCCAUGAAGCUGGAUUCGCUAGUAAUCGCGCAUCAGCCAUGGCGCGGUGAAUACGUUCCCGGGCCUUGUACACACCGCCCGU